rnacentral:rRNA from 1 species
CUUUACUCGGGGAUAGCCUUUCGAAAGAAAGAUUAAUACCCGAUAGCAUAAUGAUUCCGCAUGGUUUCAUUAUUAAAGGAUUCCGGUAAAGGAUGGGGAUGCGUUCCAUUAGGUUGUUGGUGAGGUAACGGCUCACCAAGCCUUCGAUGGAUAGGGGUUCUGAGAGGAAGGUCCCCCACAUUGGAACUGAGACACGGUCCAAACUCCUACGGGAGGCAGCAUG